GACGAACGCUGGCGGCGUGCUUAACACAUGCAAGUCGAACGGAAAGGCCCUGCUUUUGUGGGGUGCUCGAGUGGCGAACGGGUGAGUAACACGUGAGUAACCUGCCCUUGACUUUGGGAUAACUUCAGGAAACUGGGGCUAAUACCGGAUAGGUGCUCCUGCUGCAUGGGGGGGGUUGGAAAGUUUCGGCGGUUGGGGAUGGACUCGCGGCUUAUCAGCUUGUUGGUGGGGUAGUGGCUUACCAAGGCUUUGACGGAUAGCCGGCCUGAGAGGGUGACCGGCCACAUUGGGACUGAGAUACGGACCAGACUCGUACGGGAGGCAGCAGUGGGGAAUAUUGCACAAUGGGCGGAAGCGUGAUGCAGCAACGCCGCGUGCGGGAUGACGGCCUUCGGGUUGUAAACCGCUUUCGCCUGUGACGAAGCGUGAGUGACGGUAAUGGGUAAAGAAGCACCGGCUAACUACGUG
rnacentral:rRNA from 1 species